rnacentral:rRNA from 1 species
GUCUGAAGAAGGCCUUCGGGUUGUAAAGGACUUUUGUUAGGGAAGAAAAGCCGGGUGCUAAUACCACCUGGUGCUGACGGUACCUAAAGAAUAAGCACCGGCUAACUACGUGCCAGCAGCCGCGGUAAUACGUAGGGUGCGAGCGUUAAUCGGAAUUACUGGGCGUAAAGCGAGCGCAGACGGUUAAUUAAGUCAGAUGUGAAAUCCCCGAGCUCAACUUGGGACGUGCAUUUGAAACUGGUUAACUAGAGUGUGUCAGAGGGAGGUAGAAUUCCACGUGUAGCAGUGAAAUGCGUAGAGAUGUGGAGGAAUACCGAUGGCGAAGGCAGCCUCCUGGGAUAACACUGACGUUCAUGCUCGAAAGCGUGGGUAGCAAACAGGAUUAGAUACCCUGGUAGUCCACGCCCUAAACGAUGACAAUUAGCUGUUGGGACACUAGAUGUCUUAGUAGCGAAGCUAACGCGUGAAAUUGUCCGCCUGGGGAGUACGGUCGCAAGAUUAAAACUCAAAGGAAUUGACGGGGACCCGCACAAGCGGUGGAUGAUGUGGAUUAAUUCGAUGCAACGCGAAGAACCUUACCUGGUCUUGACAUGUACGGAAUCUCUUAGAGAUAGGAGAGUGCCUUCGGGAGCCGUAACACAGGUGCUGCAUGGCUGUCGUCAGCUCGUGUCGUGAGAUGUUGGGUUAAGUCCCGCAACGAGCGCAACCCUUGUCAUUAGUUGCCAUCAUUAAGUUGGGCACUCUAAUGAGACUGCCGGUGACAAACCGGAGGAAGGUGGGGAUGACGUCAAGUCCUCAUGGCCCUUAUGACCAGGGCUUCACACGUCAUACAAUGGUCGGUACAGAGGGUAGCGAAGCCGCGAGGUGAAGCCAAUCUCAGAAAGCCGAUCGUAGUCCGGAUUGCACUCUGCAACUCGAGUGCAUGAAGUCGGAAUCGCUAGUAAUCGCAGGUCAGCAUACUGCGGUGAAUACGUUCCCGGGUCUUGUACACACCGCCCGUCACACCAUGGGAGUGGGGGAUACCAGAAUUGGGUAGAC